GGUCGUACUGCAUUUUGCUAACGUUUGAAUGGAUUGCGACCUAUCAGAGGUAGAAACGUUACUGGAUUGGAGAACU
rnacentral:sRNA from 1 species